rnacentral:tRNA from 1 species
UAGGGUUAAAGUUUUAUUCUAAAUAAUCAUUUUGCACAUGAUAGAGACAAUUUUUGUUAACCUA